GCUCCCUUCGUCUAGUGGUCCAGGACACCGCCCUCUCACGGCGGGAACAGGGGUUCGAGUCCCCUAGGGAGCACCA
rnacentral:tRNA from 3 species